AAAGUCGUAACAAGGUCUCCGUAGGUGAACCUGCGGAGGGAUCAUUACCGAGUGAGGGCCUCCGGGUCCGACCUCCAACCCUUUGUGAACACAUCCCGUUGCUUCGGGGGGCGACCCUGCCGGGCGCCCCCGGAGGACCACACAACACUGCAUCUUUGCGUCGGAGUUUACGAGUAAAUCGAAACAAAA
rnacentral:misc_RNA from 1 species